GUGCAAUGGCAUAAGCCAGCUUGACUGCGAGCGUGACGGCGCGAGCAGGUGCGAAAGCAGGUCAUAGUGAUCCGGUGGUUCUGAAUGGAAGGGCCAUCGCUCAACGGAUAAAAGGUACUCCGGGGAUAACAGGCUGAUACCGCCCAAGAGUUCAUAUCGACGGCGGUGUUUGGCACCUCGAUGUCGGCUCAUCACAUCCUGGGGCUGAAGUAGGUCCCAAGGGUAUGGCUGUUCGCCAUUUAAAGUGGUACGCGAGCUGGGUUUAGAACGUCGUGAGACAGUUCGGUCCCUAUCUGCCGUGGGCGCUGGAGAACUGAGGGGGGCUGCUCCUAGUACGAGAGGACCGGAGUGGACGCAUCACUGGUGUUCGGGUUGUCAUGCCAAUGGCA
rnacentral:rRNA from 1 species